GACGAACGCUGGCGGCGUGCUUAACACAUGCAAGUCGAACGCUGAAGCUCAGCUUUUGUUGGGUGGAUGAGUGGCGAACGGGUGAGUAACACGUGAGUAACCUGCCCCCUUCUUUGGGAUAACGCCCGGAAACGGGUGCUAAUACUGGAUAUUCACUGGUCUUCGCAUGGGGGUUGGUGGAAAGGGUUUUUCUGGUGGGGGAUGGGCUCGCGGCCUAUCAGCUUGUUGGUGGGGUGAUGGCCUACCAAGGCUUUGACGGGUAGCCGGCCUGAGAGGGUGACCGGUCACAUUGGGACUGAGAUACGGCCCAGACUACUACGGGAGGCAGCAGUGGGGAAUAUUGCACAAUGGGCGAAAGCCUGAUGCAGCGACGCCGCGUGAGGGAUGGAGGCCUUCGGGUUGUGAACCUCUUUCGCUAAUGGUCAAGCCGCAACAAUGGUUGUGGUGAGGGUAGUGGGUAAAGAAGCGCCGGCUAACUACGUG
rnacentral:rRNA from 1 species